UACGUAGGGGGCAAGCGUUAUCCGGAUUUACUGGGUGUAAAGGGAGCGUAGACAGCAUAGCAAGUCUGAAGUGAAAGCCCGUGGCUCAACCGCGGAACUGCUUUGGAAACUGUUAAGCUGGAGUACUGGAGAGGCAAGCGGAAUUCCUAGUGUAGCGGUGAAAUGCGUAGAUAUUAGGAGGAACACCAGUGGCGAAGGCGGCUUGCUGGACAGAGACUGACGUUGAGGCUCGAAAGCGUGGGGAGCAAACAGG
rnacentral:rRNA from 1 species